rnacentral:rRNA from 1 species
CAAAUUUUGAAUCUGGCGGUCUUCAGGCCGUCCGAGUUGUAAUCUAGAGAAGCGUCUUCCGCGCUGGACCGUGUAUAAGUUUCCUGGAAUGGAACGUCGUAGAGGGUGAGAAUCCCGUCUUUGACACGGACUGCCAGGGCUAUGUGAUGCGCUCUCGACGAGUCGAGUUGUUUGGGAAUGCAGCUCAAAUAGGGUGGUAAAUUCCAUCUAAAGCUAAAUACAGGCGAGAGACCGAUAGCGAACAAGUACCGUGAGGGAAAGAUGAAAAGAACUUUGGAAAGAGAGUUAAACAGUACGUGAAAUUGCUGAAAGGGAAACGCUUGAUGUCAGUCGCGUCGGCCGGGGAUCAGCCUUGCUCUUUUGCUCGGUGUAUUUCCUGGCAGACGGGUCAGCAUCGGUUUUGACCGUCGGAAAAUGGCUGGAGGAAUGUGGCACUCCUCGGAGUGUGUUAUAGACUCUGGUCGAAUACGACGAUGGGGACCGAGGAACUCAGCACGACCUUAGGGUUCGGGGCUUCGGCUCACGUUAACGUGCUUAGGAUGCUGGCAUAAUGGCCUUAAGCGACCCGUCUUGAAACACGGACCAAGGAGUCUAACUCGCAUGCGAGUGUUUGGGCGAUUAAAACCCGAGCGCGUAAUGAAAGUGAAAGUCGAGACCUCUGUCGU